rnacentral:siRNA from 1 species
CUCAUUUGAUUAUGAGUUGAGUUG